rnacentral:rRNA from 1 species
GACUCAUUUGAAUCACUUAGUGGCGGACGGGUGAGUAACGCGUGGGUAACCUGCCUCACACUGGGGGAUAGCAGUUGGAAACGACUGAUAAUACCGCAUAAGCGCACAGUAUCGCAUGAUACAGUGUGAAAAACUCCGGUGGUGUGAGAUGGACCCGCGUCUGAUUAGCUAGUUGGUGAGGUAACGGCCCACCAAGGCGACGAUCAGUAGCCGGCCUGAGAGGGUGUACGGCCACAUUGGGACUGAGACACGGCCCAAACUCCUACGGGAGGCAGCAGUGGGGAAUAUUGGACAAUGGGGGAAACCCUGAUCCAGCGACGCCGCGUGAGUGAAGAAGUAUCUCGGUAUGUAAAGCUCUAUCAGCAG